UACGAAGGGGGCUAGCGUUGCUCGGAAUCACUGGGCGUAAAGCGCACGUAGGCGGAUCUUUAAGUCAGGGGUGAAAUCCUGGAGCUCAACUCCAGAACUGCCUUUGAUACUGGGGAUCUCGAGUCCGGGAGAGGUGAGUGGAACUGCGAGUGUAGAGGUGAAAUUCGUAGAUAUUCGCAAGAACACCAGUGGCGAAGGCGGCUCACUGGCCCGGUACUGACGCUGAGGUGCGAAAGCGUGGGGAGCAAACAGGGAUUAAGAAACCCCGGGUAGCCCAGAACC
rnacentral:rRNA from 1 species